rnacentral:lncRNA from 1 species
UAAAUCUAUACAUCUAGUUAUGAAAUAAGAACCCCAAAUUCAUUCGCUUCUAAGGUAAUUAACAAAUAGAACCACCAGAGGUCUCUAACAUGACCUCUAGGAGCAACAUUAUAAGAAUAAAGAUAGCAAAGGAUGGAUGUAAAAGCUGCAAAAAUUGGUACAAAGAACUACAAUCUAGAGAAAACAAAGAGCCAUUGCUUGUACUAAGCUCUACAAAAUGUCCUAAAUCUAUACAUCUAGUUAUGAAAUAAGAACCCCAAAUUCAUUAGUCUCUAAGGUAAUUAACAAAUAGAACCACCAGAGGUCUCUAACAUGACCUCUAGGAGCAACAUUAUAAGAAAAAAGAUGGCUAAGAAUGGAUGUAAAAGCAGCAAAAAUUGGUUCAAAGAACUAAAAUCUAGGCAAAAACAAUGAGCCAUUGCUUAUACUAAGCUCUACAAAAU